rnacentral:tRNA from 1 species
GCAUCCGUAGCUCAGAUGGAUAGAGCGUCGGCCUCCGAAGCCGCAGGUCGCAGGUUCGAAUCCUGCCGGGUGCACCC